AUUGAACGCUGGCGGCAGGCCUAACACAUGCAAGUCGAACGAGCGGCGGACGGGUGAGUGAUGUCUGGGAAACUGCCUGAUGGAGGGGGAUAACAACAGGAGAAGGUAACUAAUACCGCAUACCAUCAGAUGUGCACAGAUGGGAUUAGCUAGUGGGUGGGGUAACGGCUCACAUAGGCGACGAUCCCUAGCUGGUCUGAGAGGAUGACCAGCCAAACUGGAACUGAGACACGGUCCAGACUCCAACGGGAGGAAGAAGUGGGGAAUAUUGCAAAUUGGGAGCAAGCUUGAUGAAGACAGGCGGCGUGUGGGAAGAAGGCUUCCGGGUGUGAAAGUCCGUUAAGCGGGGAGGCGUUACCCGAAGAAGAAGCACCGGCUAACUCCGUGCCAGCAGCCGCGGUAAUUC
rnacentral:rRNA from 1 species